rnacentral:rRNA from 1 species
GGGUCAGUAGGUUGGUCGUGCCACCGGUACGUACUGGUCUCACUAUUCCUCCUUCCUGAAGAACCGUAAUGCCAUUAAUUUGGUGUUGCGGGGAAACAGGACUGUUACUUUGAAAAAAUUAGAGUGUUUAAAGCAAGCUAACGCUUGAAUACGUUAGCAUGGAAUAAUGAAAUAGGACGAUCGAUCCUAUUUUGUUGGUUUCUAGGAUUGACGUA